rnacentral:rRNA from 1 species
AUACGUAGGGGGCUAGCGUUAUCCGGAAUUACUGGGCGUAAAGGGUGCGUAGGUGGUUUCUUAAGUCAGAAGUGAAAGGCUACGGCUCAACCGUAGUAAGCUUUUGAAACUAAGAGACUUGAGUGCAGGAGAGGAGAGUAGAAUUCCUAGUGUAGCGGUGAAAUGCGUAGAUAUUAGGAGGAAUACCAGUUGCGAAGGCGGCGCUCUGGACUGUAACUGACACUGAGGCACGAAAGCGUGGGGAGCAAACAGGAUUAGAUACCCUGGUAGUCCAUGCCGUAAACGAUGAGUACUAGCUGUCGGGGGUUACCCCCCUCGGUGGCGCAGCUAACGCAUUAAGUACUCCGCCUGGGAAGUACGCUCGCAAGAGUGAAACUCAAAUGAAUUGACGGG